UUGAAACUUACACAAACACUCACUGUAUUAUUGCAGAAGAGAGAGAGAAUGGAGAGAGAAAGGAAGAGGAAGAGGACAAGAAGAGGAAAGAGAGGAGGAAAGGAAGAGGCAUUUGGAAACAAUUUGUGCCGAAGACAGAAAGUACACCUAACGUUAAGCUGAAAAAACUGGACGCUCCCAGCAAACUCACUUUGCAGACUCCUGGUUGUCAGAAGAAAACGCCAGAGGAUUUCACUUGGCAUUGACCUCUUACUACUUCCAGCCACUUACCCUGGGCAGUAGAAAGAAGGAACAGAAAGCAGAGUAGAUUAAGAGGAGCAAGUACAAAUGGCGUGGGACUUCAAAUCACCACCUAAGAUUACUUCUUUGAUUUCUGAAAAAGUAGGUCAAAGGAAGAUGUCAGGGGCAAGAAACCAAUUGGGUGUUGUGCCUAAGAACGUGGACCCUGUGGCCAGACUGCUUGGAUCAGUGUCCUCCCUCCACCACUUUGUAGCCAUCUGACCUCAGAACCUAAGGACUCCCAGUUCCCAGGAGAUAAUGGAGCCUCAAGAUGUAAG
rnacentral:lncRNA from 1 species